CCCGUUUCCCUAAAAAAACGCACUCUCCUCCCACUCCCAUCUCGUUAGAUCCCCCACCAGGCUCCUCUCGUCCACAUGCGCCAUUUCUUCCGAUUUGUUGCGAGUGAUUGAAAGAUGUCGCUGCUGGCAUCAAGUGAUCGAUCCCCAUGCCAUCCCGCAUCUAGUUGCCACUUAUUUUCUUCAAAUUUCUCUUCAUUGGGUGGUGGCUCAGGUGGCCGGAUGAGUGUGUGCACGCGUUUGAUGCAGUCUCUACGGUGCGGAUCCUCACCUACCUCGUCGACUCUGGCAACGCGGCCACGAUGAGGGCCAGGUUGAAAGCACCGGAUGCGCUCCUCAACCUCGUCUAGCGGCCCUGGCAGAGGUGCUGAAGGUUGGCGGCGUGGAGGAGAUGGUGAGGGAUCUCACGGAGGAUGGGACACCGUGAACAUCUGACCUUCUCUUUUUGCAAAACAACAACAACAACAACAACAACAUCUGACCUUCGUACUCUUGGUCUUCCAGCCUUGUAUUUUUUUUUACUUUUGCUCCAGCAGAUUUCCUGUUCUUGCAGACAUCUUUUCCCUUUCUUUCUGUAGUACUUGCCGCAUUUCAUUCUUCCUCUCGAGUCAUUUGAUAGUACAAUAGAUCUCAGUCUCCUCUUUUUGUCACUUUGUAGUUCACAUGAUGAUAACAGUUGGUCGCGGCACCCAUCUUUGUUUACUGUAUCCCCAUUGCUAUCAUGUGGUUCCUCUUUCGCAGGCACCAGUUCACAUGACAUUUUGGAACGUGAAACUCUAUUAUUCUGUGACUGUAAAAUAAAUAUACAUUUGAAAAAUUAGACAUGCUUCUAAAAAUCUGGAAGUGUGUAUGUGGAAAAAAUCAAUCACCCUUUUAACUGCAUGUUCAGUUUCUUUGAUUUAUGUUUUAGUAAGGCGUCCCCUUCAUCAUUCAUCAAAUCAUGUGUAACAUAUGUGCUGAAUCGGUUUGGAACUUAUAUACAUGGUACCUAAUUUUAAUUUUUGGAAAAAUGAAUAAAAGCACCUUUACCUCCUCAACUUCAUUGUAUACGUACAACAUCUCAAGUCUAUCACUGGGCACAAAUGUUAUCUGUACAUAAUUAUGGUAUUAUCUUUGGCGCUUCAGAUUUCCCAUCCAAUGACUUAGCAAGUUAGAGACAGAUGUAUAAUGGUCAGAAAAAAUAAUUAGUUUGAAGUCUUAAUUACAACUAUAAAUGUACCCGAGCGUUGGAGUAUAGUUGAAAGUCUCAAUUAAAAUUAUAAACAUACAUGGGCACUGUAUAUCUUCCUUGGCCCGUUCUUGUAUUAGGUAAGGUUCUUCGUAGAUAGCUUGAAGUAAUAACAGGCAAUAUUUCCGGAGAUCUUUGACCUCCUUUACCUUUGUAUAUGUGCAAAACUAUUUUAAUUUCGUUGCUUAGAGGACAAUAUUUGGUGGAUUCCACAACCGUAAAAUUGCUCCUCGGCCCGUUCUUGUAUCAAGUCGGGUUCUUGGUAGAUAGCUCGAAGUAAUAACAUGCCAUUUUUCCGGAGAUCUUGGACCUCCUUUACCUUUGUAUUAUGUGCAAAACUAUUUUAAUUUCAUUGCUUAGAGGGUGAUAUUUUGUGGAUUCCACAACCGUAAAAUUACUAAAUGCAUAAGUAGAUUGCUCAUCGAUUUUUAAUCUGAAAGUGUCUAUGAGACUUAGUAAUUGUUUUUGAAAAUGCUAGAAUAAUUUCUAGUUUAAAAUAUAAAGAAUAUACAUGUUCAUCCAUUAAGAUCAUAUCUGGGUUAAUAAGCUCAUCAAUUGUAGGAUUUAACAUGUAUCUUUAUUACUUUUACUUGAAUGUUCCCGUUUUGUCCCUGUUAAAUCGCUCAGUUUUUUGUGUGGCACAAUGUUUUGCCUACAAAUAACACAAAAUUAUUUUUUCAAUUCAUGAAGUACCUGUGAAGACUGUAAAAGAUAAGUGAAUUUAGUAAAUAAUAAUUGCCAAACUUUAUGAUUCAGGUGAGAAGACACUGGGUAUGGCUUCGUCCAACUUCAAGUUACAUGUUAUGUGAAGCAGUUGGAUGUGGUAGUCGUGGAGUGUUAGUUCUUGCUGACUUCAAUAUUUUUCGGUGUCGAGUUGAGCAUCAAGUCGCCCGUUGCUUCCUAUUAUCAGCUGACUUUGUUUUUCUUUGUGGUGUCACGACUCAGGCAUCGAUUCGCUCAUUGUGUCUACCACUGGCUCACUUUGGCAUAUUCUUGAACAUGUGCUAUAUGUGGCCGGCUAAUAAUUGUCGAACUUGAUGAUUCAGGUGAGAAGGCAGUGGGCGUCAUCCGACUUUGAGUUUUCGUGCCACAUGAAGCAGUUGGAUGUGGUAGUUGUGGAGUGGCGGUUCUUGCUGACUUCGAUAUUUGUCGGUGUCGAGUUGAGCGGCGAGUCUCCCAUUGCAUCGUCGUACCAUAUUCGUUUUUCUUUGUGGUGUCAAGAUUCAGGCAUCGAUUUCGUCCCACUGGCUCCAUUCAAUUUCUUGUUUUUGGCUGAUUUCUUGGGCGUGUGGUUUAUGUGGACGACCAGUCUUGUUUAUAUUGGUUGAUGUGGCUGACACCGUGUGGAGUCCUGAUCUUAUAUUUGUCUUGCAUGCAUCUGUCCGGUUUUGGAUUGUCAGCACGUGAGUUGUACUUACGUAUCCAUUAUAUGUUUGGGAUCCUUAUUUGUUGACCCAUCCUUGGGAAAGAAAGUUAUUAUGGAUCUGUUCGUGGUUGUCUCGGACAUAUUUGAUUUUAAAAU